UACGUGGGGAGCAAGCGUUGUUCGGAUUUACUGGGCGUAAAGGGCGCGUAGGCGGUAGCACAAGUCAGUUGUGAAAUCUCCGGGCUUAACUCGGAAAGGUCAACUGAUACUGUGCGACUAGAGUGCAGAAGGGGCAACUGGAAUUCUCGGUGUAGCGGUGAAAUGCGUAGAUAUCGAGAGGAACACCUGCGGCGAAGGCGGGUUGCUGGGCUGACACUGACGCUGAGACGCGAAAGCGUGGGGAGCAAACAGG
rnacentral:rRNA from 1 species